rnacentral:rRNA from 1 species
UACGUAGGGGGCAAGCGUUGUCCGGAUUUAUUGGGCGUAAAGAGCGUGUAGGCGGCUCGGUAAGUCCGCUGUGAAAGUCCAGGGCUCAACCCUGGAAUGCCGGUGGAAACUGUCGAGCUUGAGUCCGGAAGAGGCGAGUGGAAUUCCUGGUGUAGGCGGUGAAAUGCGCAGAUAUCAGGAGGAACACCAAUGGCGAAGGCAGCUCGCUGGGACGGUACUGACGCUGAGACGCGAAAGCGUGGGGAGCAAACAGGAUAGAAACC